UGCUUCUUCGUUAAAAAUUCAUAAAAUACCUGAUUUAAGUUAGCACACACGGACUAUAAAGAAAUAUAAGUGCUGUUGAGUGAAGUCAACAAUGUAUUUAAAUUUUAAAACACAAAAUUGUGUUUCCUAAUAGUUUUAAAACAUAUUUCGAUGAAGUCUUCAGGCAAUGUAAUUACUUACCGAUUUGUCAAUUGAAACAUUUCCAACUGACUUCAAUCUCUUUUUCCCUUCCUUUUGCUUAUUAAGUAGCUUUUGCUUCCUUGUUACAUCUCCCCCGUAGCAUUUUGCUGUGACAUUUUUUCGAAGAGCCGAGAUAGACUCCCUGGCGACUACUCGGUUGUCGAUGACAGCUUGAAGUAUUACUUCAUAUAGUUGUUUAGGAACUAACGGCUUCAACCGUUGAAUCCAUUCACGGCCUCGCUGAAGUGCAAGCGAGCGAUGCACUAUAGAACAAAGAGCAUCUACAGAUUUUCCACUCAUAAAAAUUGAUAGUCGCACCAAAUCAGCAGGAACGUAAUCCGAUUCUUCAUAAUCUAAGGUAGCGAAACCACUUGUUGUCCCUUUUAAUCGACCAAAGAAAUCUUCAACCAGGUGAGCAAGAGGUAAUUGAUAUUUUAUCAUGCAUCGCGAUUCGGACAUAUAAGUGCAGUCCUUUUGGAGUCCUCGACAAGAUUCACACAACUUGAUAACAUCUCCUAGGUACUCGCUCGGUGUUAUAAUUGUUGCAUCGACGGUGGGCUCUAAAAGCUCAGAUAUACCUUGAUGAUUUGUUGGAAAUAGAUUAGGAUUCGAUAUUACUUCUUCCCUUCCAUUUUUAUAUUUUAUGCGAUACGGUACUGUGGGAGAAGUGAUUAAUAAUUCCUUUCCAUAUUCAUCCUUUAAUCUGUCAAUAAAGACAGAAAGAUGCAACGUUCCAAGAAAACCUAAACGCCAUCCCAUCCCAAGAGCAGACGAGUUUUCUUUUUGUACAUUAAUAGCACGAUCAUUAAGGGCCAAUUGUUCGAUGUUAUCAUUUAGUCUCUCGUAAUCCGAGCCAUCCAAAGGAAAGGCGCCAACAUAAACCAUUGAUUGGGGAAUAGAGAAACCAGGUAAUGCUUCAACAUUAGAUCCGAUGGUUGAAUAUGUAUCCCCGACAAUUGCUUCAUCAAUAUUUUUCAUAUUCCAGAUAAUAUAACCAACUUGUCCUGCUCGAAGACGCGAAACUUCGGUCAUGUCAGGAUACAUAAUUCCAACUUGUUGUACUUCAUACUUUCUACCUGUGUUUACACUCAUCACCUUUCCUCCUUUUUUUAUAAAGCCCUCCAUAAUUCGCACCAAUCCUAUAACUCCCUGGUAGCUAUUGUACCAACUGUCUAUCAACAGGCAGCGUAACGGAGCAUUUUCUGACCCCUUGGGAGGAGGAAUUUUUUGUAUGAUUUCCGGUAGAAUUUGUUCGACAUUUUUUCCCGUUUUAGAAGAGACUAGGAUGGGCUUGGACAUAGGGAUAUCAAAAGUUUGCUGAACUUGAAUCAAAGUUCUAUCCACAUCCGCAGUUGGCAAAUCAACCUUGUUCAGAACUGGAAUUAUGACCAAGUUUUGGGAAAAUGCCAUAUAAAAAUUUGACAACUAAAUAAUACGUUAGCUUAGAGUUAAUAUAUUGAUACCUAGGUUAUUUGAUGUUGCUUUGCUCAUCAUCGAACCUCAUAUUUCAUACAGUUUGUGCUUGUAUGCCUUGAGAGGCAUCAACUAAUAAGAUACAUCCUUCACAAGCGGCCAAACUAUGCAUGACUUCGGCACGAAAGUCAACAUGCCCGGGCGUAUCGAUUAAAUUUAGUAAAUAUGAUUGUCCAUGAUAAUAGUAAAUCAUGCUGCAGGUCUGCGCCUUAACUGUUAUUCCUCUUCGCCUUUCUACUUCCAACUUAUCCAAAAAUUGAUUUCUAAAGUUAUGUUCAUUAAUGACACCGGUGAGUUUUAGUAUGCAGUCACUCAGCGUUGAUUUCCCAUGGUCGAUAUGAGCAAUCACAGCCCAGUUUCGAACUCUAUUUUGUGGAAUUCCUCUAACAACUUCUUGAAUGGAAGGCUUGUUAUCCUCGGAUGCUAGCUUUCUUGAGGCAUAAGAAACAGAGAAGAAGCGCCAUCUUAUUUUGAACGAUGAACUCUUUAAACAAGUCUCUAAACUAAAUGUUCUAGAGAGCCUAAAAAUACUCAUGAACACCAAAAAAAUCUUUGUUCAAGGUUAUUCAAUAAAGUAUACGUUAAAUUCAUUAACUAAUUACAAUAGCAUAAAUUCAGGCACCUAGAUGAGCUAACCCUUUUUUAAAUGUUUAUACGGAAUAAAAAAAUAAAUAAACCUCAGUAGGUAGAUGGUCCAAGUUGCAAAUACGAGGGCUGCUCAAUUGCUAACUUUUUUUAUACUGAGUGAACUCAAGAUAAAGAAAAAAAAUGGAAGACGAGAAUCGCAAAAAUACUAGAUAUAGCUCAAAAGAGGGGCAAAUUAAAAAAAUUCAGAAAAAAUUUUAUGUCUUAAAACUAUUCUAUUCAAUAAAUGCAGAAUGAUUCUUAAUUGUUUCUAUAAUAUUUACC
rnacentral:lncRNA from 1 species